AUGCUUUCUAUGCUUUCCUCUUGUUAAUCUGUCUUGUUACUGGGGCUUCGGCCGUGAACCUAGGAUGGUGAGGAAAAGAUAUUUUUUUCUCCCUUACGAUGGUAAGUUUUGUUAUUAUAUUUUACUCACCCCCACACAAAAACGUAGUGGUGCAGUCCCAUUUGCUGAUGGGAAACAGGCCGAGAGAGAGGAGAAAUGCGGCCAAGUUCAUGAGCUGCUCGGCGACCAGGUUAAAACCUGAGUCUGUGGUCGCCCAAGUCCUGAGGUCAUCCCACGCAGGCCCUCUCAGCCAGGCUGGGCUGAGGUCAGCGAGGCAUCACGUUCAACACAGGGAGAGUAAGAGGGAGAGUGAGGCAGAACGCACCACGUUCCCGGGUAGGAAGGUGUCUCAGCCAUGAAUCUAGGGGUGAGAAAAGAAACCUCCCCUCACCUACAAGGUCAAAGCGCAGGUAUGGGUCCUGGCAGGACCCAUCAGCAGAAUCUGGCUGGAAAACUCUCACGCUAAAAACAGAACUGCCGAGGAUCUUUGAUGUCUUCCUCAUGAUGGCCCUCCACGCACAUCUGCGGGUCACGCUUCUCCAACCGUGAAGGCAGUCCUUUCAGCUGUGAUAUGAUGAGCAGCCCUAUGGAGAGGGUGUGUGGGAAGAACCUGAAGUCUCCAGCCAGCAGCCACAUGAAUACAUCAUCUUGGAAGCAGAUCCUCCAGCCCCAGUCCAGCCUUCAGAUGACUGCAGCCCUGGUCAACAUCUCAACUGCAGUCUCAUGAGAGACUCCAGACCAGAACCACCCUGCUGAGCCUCUUUUGGAUUCUUGACCCUCAGAAACCCUGUGAGAUCAUAAAUGCCAGUCGUUUUAAGCUGCUAAGUUUUGGGGUCAUUUGUUAGCCAGCAAGAUAACAAAUACAGAUCUGCAUGAAACAUACAAGCAGAAGGAAGUAGGCAGUCAGGUCUACAAGUCUGAAAUUCAGGGAAGCAGUUCAGGCUGAAAUAUAAAUUUGAGAGUUAUUAACAUAUAGGUGAUAUUAAAAGCCAUCAGGAGCAAAGGUUUCUCUUUUUAUGGAAGCUUUCUCCACUUCCCUACUCCCUCUUCUGCGCUCUGAUGUUGGCUUGCCUUUGCUGUGAGGUUGCACGGCGAUGGCUUUGCUGUGCGCCCAUCUGACCAUUAGGUUCAGACAUAACUGAGUCUUCUUUGGAUCUUCUUCUAAACUUGGUACAAACUGGAAGUGCUUAAUAAAUGCUUUUGGGAUGCUAUGAAUGCACAGGGGAGCUUAGAGGGUGAAGCGGACACUGUAAGUGUUAUGACUCUAUCCCUUUUUGCACGGUUGGGCUAACUUUCAACUGCCAGCUUUGGCCUCUCACAGCCUUGGUACCUCCAACCCCUGCAUUGGGAGGCCCCAGAAAAGCCUAGAAUGACCAUCUCCCAGAAGCAGCCCUCAGCUGAAGAUCAUCAUGAGUUGACAUAUAAACAUCUCAGCUUACCCCUUAUGUAGGUUUGGGAGUGGAUGGUUCCAGAUCCUGUGUUUUGCGUUGUUUCUCAGUUUCCUCACAGGAUGCAGCCCUAGUGCCCACUUUGGCAGUGGGCUUAGAACAGCCCUUCCCUGGCUGCCUUCCCUUCUCUGGGUCAUUUCCCUGCUCUCCUGCUGGGGCUCCCCCCAUAGCCAGUACCUCUCAAAUAAACAAUUUGUGCUCAAAUCCGCUCAGGAACUGCUUCUUAGGGAACCAAACCGUGAUUAUGGAGAGGCAGAGCGUGGAUAUGUGGAG
rnacentral:lncRNA from 10 species